CUGCCCUAGACAGGGGGAUAACUAUUGGAAACGAUAGCUAAGACCGCAUAGGUACGGACACUGCAUGGUGACCGUAUUAAAAGUGCCUCAAAGCACUGGUAGAGGAUGGACUUAUGGCGCAUUAGCUGGUUGGCGGGGUAACGGCCCACCAAGGCGACGAUGCGUAGCCGACCUGAGAGGGUGACCGGCCACACUGGGACUGAGACACGGCCCAGACUCCUACGGGAGGCAGCAGUAGGGAAUUUUCGACAAUGGGGGAAACCCUGACCGAGCAACGCCGCGUGAAGGAAGAAGGUUUUCGGAUUGUAAACUUCUGUUAUAAAGGAAGAACGGCGGCUACAGGAAAUGGUAGCCGAGUGACGGUACCUUAUUAGAAAGCCACGGCUAACUACGUGCCAGCAGCCGCGGUAAUACGUAGGUGGCAAGCGUUAUCCGGAAUUAUUGGGCGUAAAGAGGGAGCAGGCGGCAGCAAGGGUCUGUGGUGAAAGCCUGAAGCUUAACUUCAGUAAGCCAUAGAAACCAGGCAGCUAGAGUGCAGGAGAGGAUCGUGGAAUUCCAUGUGUAGCGGUGAAAUGCGUAGAUAUAUGGAGGAACACCAGUGGCGAAGGCGACGAUCUGGCCUGCAACUGACGCUCAGUCCCGAAAGCGUGGGGAGCAAAUAGGAUUAGAUACCCUAGUAGUCCACGCCGUANACGAUGAGUACUAAGUGUUGGAUGUCAAAGUUCAGUGCUGCAGUUAACGCAAUAAGUACUCCGCCUGAGUAGUACGUUCGCAAGNAUGAAACUCAAAGGAAUUGACGGGGGCCCGCAC
rnacentral:rRNA from 1 species